GGCGAACGCUGGCGGCGUGCCUAAUACAUGCAAGUCGAACGCUUCUUUCCUCCCGAGUGCUUGCACUCAAUUGGAAAGAGGAGUGGCGGACGGGUGAGUAACACGCGGGUAACCUACCCAUCAGAGGGGGAUAACACUUGGAAACAGGUGCUAAUACCGCAUAACAGUUUAUGCCGCAUGGCAUAAGAGUGAAAGGCGCUUUCGGGUGUCGUUGAUGGAUGGACCCGCGGUGCAUUAGCUAGUUGGUGAGGUAACGGCUCACCAAGGCCACGAUGCAUAGCCGACCUGAGAGGGUGAUCGGCCACACUGGGACUGAGACACGGCCCAGACUCCUACGGGAGGCAGCAGUAGGGAAUCUUCGGCAAUGGACGAAAGUCUGACCGAGCAACGCCGCGUGAGUGAAGAAGGUGUUCGGAUCGUAAAACUCUGUUGUUAGAGAAGAACAAGGACGUUAGUAACUGAACGUCCCCUGACGGUAUCUAACCAGAAAGCCACGGCUAACUACGUG
rnacentral:rRNA from 1 species